GGAGAUUGCUAGUAAAGCGGAUGGAAUGGCGAACCCGGGCACAACGAGAUGAGAAAUGAGGACAAAUUGCAAGCUGUACGGAACGGGAGGUUAAAGGUGCUGAUUCUCCAAGGAGGGAGAUUGCUAGUAAAGCGGCUGGAAUGGCGAACCCGAGCACAAGGAGAUGAGAAAUGAGGACAAAUUGCAAGCUGUACGGAACGGGAGGUUAAAGGUGCUGAUUCUCCAAGGAGGGAGAUUGCUAGUAAAGCGGCUGGAAUGGCGAACCCGAGCACAAGGAGAUGAGA